AUAAACGAUCUCUUUAUAUUUUAACUUGUUUCUCUUUCAGUUUCUUUUUUCCUGUAACAGCUAACAUACAUGAAACUUCAUUCUCCAGGAUCUAAUUAACACAUCAUUUCAAGAAGAAUAGUGAAAGAAAACAAAUAAAUAAACAUUUCCCACACAGGAACAUAUUGAAAUAGAAACCUAACAUUGCUGUUUGUUAAAGGCUGCAGCUGAUGUUUGCCUAUAGACUCGUUCCAACUUCCAACAGCCAAACUCAUGUCAUGUCAGAGACAUUAACAGAUAAAUAUUGAGAUAAAUAUUGAGAUAUAGGUAUAAAUACAACCAUAAAUAUAUAUAUAUAUAAAUAUAAAAUAUGUGUGCAAAUAUAUGCCGUGGUGUACCAAAGUAACAGAGUGCAGUUAGGUGUGUUUAAUCCUGUUCUGCAUGUGUGGAUCUGACCCAAGUGGAUGAAUUACAGAGUCUGAUAGCAGCAGGAAGGAACGACCUCCUGUAACGUUCCCCUCAGACAGUGAAGUUGAAGAAAUCUAUUCCUGAAACUGUUCUUCAGAUUGUCCAGUGUGUUAUGGAGGGAGUGGGAGCCAUUGUCUAUGAUUGCAAGCAGUUUUGCCAGCAAAUGUUAAUAUGGAAUAAAAGUAAAACAUGAAGAAUAAAAGCAGUCUGGCUCUUUAAGAACAGAGAGGAUUUUCCUCUGUAGGUUUAUCUUUGAAUGCAGUAAAUCCGUCCUCACUAAUAGAGUUUACUGGAUCUGAGCUUCUAACUGAUAUGCCCCCUUUGUUGCUUUUGUCUGAUUAUGUUUAGGUUGUCCCACAGCUGACAUUUUUUAUGAAGUGUGCAGAGUAUUCAGAGAACCCAACUGACAGCACGACCUUUCUGAAACUCUUCAACCAGAACCUGCAGAGCAACAACAAAACAUGUUUCUUUUCUUUGCACAGUUUUAGUGCUGAUUGUUCUUUAAACACCAAACUGUCCAUAAAUGUUUUGAACUUUGAAUGCAGUCAAUACAUGAUGUGUACACUGAAUCCAUAAAGUGUCGAUGGCUGGCUGAGGUCUGAAUUCAAUGUUUCAUCAUCAGA